AGCGAACGCUGGCGGCAGGCUUAACACAUGCAAGUCGAGCGGGCAUAGCAAUAUGUCAGCGGCAGACGGGUGAGUAACGCGUGGGAACGUACCUUUUGGUUCGGAACAACACAGGGAAACUUGUGCUAAUACCGGAUAAGCCCUUACGGGGAAAGAUUUAUCGCCGAAAGAUCGGCCCGCGUCUGAUUAGCUAGUUGGUGAGGUAAUGGCUCACCAAGGCGACGAUCAGUAGCUGGUCUGAGAGGAUGAUCAGCCACAUUGGGACUGAGACACGGCCCAAACUCCUACGGGAGGCAGCAGUGGGGAAUAUUGGACAAUGGGCGCAAGCCUGAUCCAGCCAUGCCGCGUGAGUGAUGAAGGCCCUAGGGUUGUAAAGCUCUUUGUGCGGGAAGAUAAUGACGGUACCGCAAGAAUAAGCCCCGGCUAACUUCGUGCCAGCAGCCGCGGUAAU
rnacentral:rRNA from 1 species